GCGGUCCUAGCCCAACUGGGAGAGGCACCAGGCCGAGAUCCUGGCCAGUGGGGGUUCGACUCCCCCGGACCGCACCA
rnacentral:tRNA from 1 species